rnacentral:lncRNA from 1 species
GAAGAGGGCGUGUUUGUUGCUGUAGCCAGAGAGAGAGCGUGCUUUGGUUGCUUGAGAGGCAAGAUAGCUGAGAGUGAGAGAAGACUGAGAGGAAUCAGCUGCGAGGAAGGGAGGUUGCUGGAGGGGGAAGAGAGCUUAAGGAAGAUAGAUGAGAUGAGAGAGUUUUUACAGAGGAGUUGGGAAAGAGGAUGGUAAAGAGUGUCUGGGGGGAUUUUAGAAGGAAGAAAAAGAAUACAGAGGGGUGUUGAGUUGGGCAUUAGCAAGGUGAUUAGGAGCAGAGGAAAGAAAGGGAAGCUGAUUUUUGUUGUGGUUUGCUGGAGGUUUAAAAGAAGAAACAGAGCAGCUCAAAGCUCGAUUAUUCUUGUUGGAGAUGAUCACUUUCAAGCAUGUUUAUUAUGGAUUUCCCAUUCAUUUUCACUAGUAUGCUUUUCUUCUCUUUUUCUGUUGAUUCUUGGAUGUUGUUCAUUGAUUGGGAGUAGACAUUGAAGGCCACAUGUUUGUUUCAGCUGAUCUCUAGGUUAGUUUGGUUGUGUUAUAGCAUGUUCAUAUCCCUCUUUUUGAUGGUUUUUGUUGAAGAUCAAUUUGCCCAUGUUCCAGUUUCCCCG